CUUUUGCAAAGAUGGUGAACACACUCCUAAGCCAGAUUUGGCUGUGGGGCACUAGAUUCUAACCUCCACUCUUGGUGGUGAGGGAAGGCUAUGUCUCGUCCAUUUCUGUAACUUCUGGAAACCACUCGUGCACAGUAGCUUCUUGAUGACUGCAGGCGGAGUAGCAGGUUUCUUGGAACUGAGAUACCCUGGCCCAUCAGGUGGAGGGUCAGUUUCAGAAGCUCAGUGAUUACAGGAGUGGUUGCCUCCCAAGUAGCUUCCACAGUCUGUAGAGGGUCCCAAGGAGCAUGCCCUAACGUGCACGUGGGUGGCAGGAAGAGAACAGAGACACUGAAAAGACUGAACACACUGGUUCUUGACCAGAAGUCAUGUUGUCCCCCAGUGGACACUUGGCAAUGUCUGACAUUUUUAGCUGUCACAUCUGGGGAACGGGUGCCACUGGCAUCUUGUGGGUAGAGGCCAGGGAUGCUUUUAAACAUCUACAAUGCAUAGAACAGCCCCUACGCGCCCCCCCGCCCCCCCCACACACAAUUACCCCAGCCUCAAAUGUCAAUAGUGUAGAGAUCUAGAAGCCCUGGAACAGGGAGGUUGGAGGCCCAGACAGACCGAGCCUCAGUCAUGGCUCUGCUCAGGUUUCCUGUGUGACCUUGAACUUCUUAUUAAUAAGCCUCACUAACUCUCAUUUUUCUGUAGACUGAAGUUAGUGGAAGUAGCAUUCUUUCCAGGGUGGGUGUGAGGUUUCAGUGAGAUGAUGUGAGUCAAAUGCUUAGCUCAUGCCUGACACAUAGUUACAUCCUCACCAUGUCUCAGCUGCUGUUGAUAUCCACCUACCUGUAUAUCCGCCUGAACUAUGCAAAAAGAAGGGGUUUUGCAAACUUUUGCAUGCAGGCUUAGAAUUCAACAUUAGCAGGACCCUGACACAGCAAACUUCCAAGCUAUGAAGUGAAUCAAUGUUCAGGUUAACCGAUGGAAAUCACUUUUCUUUUUAUGAGUGUGCGUCUCGAUGCCUUGCAUUUUAUUUGACAAUAGCCCCAUCAAACCUAACAUGUUGUGCCUUCCCAGCCCUCAAAGUGAAGAUGAAAAGAGCCAUCAAAAUGAACAACUAAUAAGCAAGUGCACGUCUUUCCCUGCUGUCCUCCUCAUCAACCUCGCUUUGAUGAAUUUACCCUACGGAUACUUGCGGUGGAAUCACAAGAGGUAUGUCCAGGGAUGCUCAUCAUAGCAUCAUCUGCGAUGGCAAAAAUGCUGAAGACGACCUAUUAAGUCCAUACACAGGGCAGUGGUUAAAACAUGGAACUUUGUGCACUAGAAAUCUCUGCAGAUAGUCGACAGAAGGAAUCAGAUGUAAAUGUGCUGAUACAAAAAGAUAACCUUUUAGUUAGGAAAGUGUGCUAGUCUUAAGUACACAGCUUGAGUAAUUUUUCCAUGUGUCUACACCCGUGUAACCAUCAAGAUCGAGAUGGAACAUUCCCGUCACUUGAGAGGGCUCCCUGUGCUCUUUAGAAUCAGUCACGCCCUCUCCCCACACAAAGGAACCAUUCUUCUGACUUUGGGGGCUGUUGAGUAGUUCUGCCUGUUCUUGAACUUCACAGAAAAGGAAUCACAUGGUGUGCGUUCUCUUAUACUUGGCUUCUUUCACUUAGCAUAAUGUUCUUGAAAUUCAUCCAUGUUAUGUAUACAUGAGUGCUUUGUUCCUUUUCAUUGCUAUGUAACAUUCUAUUAUAGGUUAUAACACAAUUUGUUAUUCAUUUACAUAUGGGACAUUUGGGUUGUUUCUACUUUUUGACUAAUAUAGUAAAGCUGCUCUGAACAUUCUUG
rnacentral:lncRNA from 1 species